UAAAAAUGUAUAUUAAACUCCAAUGUUAAGUUGCAAAAACAAAACAAACAAACAAAAGGAGAUUGUGAAGGAAGAAACAGCAGCAACAGAUUUUGAAAGGUGAAUGGUGUUUGGUGAGAUAGCAGGAGGGACUAGAUUAAACAAAAGGUUAUAGAAGAAGAGAAGCAACAGAACUGGCCAUUGCAGAUAAAUAAUAAGACAAUGGUCUUCAUCCCAACUGCGUCAGUAGUUACAUUCAUCAGAAAGCAGCCUGUAUAUUCAACCACAAGAUUGAGAAUGCCACACCAGAGAAAGAAGGAAUAGCCUCAGUUCAAAAGGUAAAGGCAUCUCUGUCUUUGUUCCAUUGCUGUGAUAAAACACUAUGACCAAAAGCACCUUGGGGAGGAAACGGUUUAUUUCAUCUUACUACUCUCAGGUAUUUGUAUCACUGUGAGAAGUCACAGCAGGAACGCAAAGAAGAAAGCUGUGUUUUCUUGUGUUUGAGGCAGAAACUGAAAUAGAGACUAUGAAAGAAAGCUUCUGAGGCCUCACUCCAUGGCUCGCUUUCAAGACCACGUGCCCAGGGGUGACAACGCUCCCAGUGGGCUGGGCCUUCCAACAUCAAUCAUUAAUGAAGAAAAUGCACUACAAACUUGCCUCCAGGCAGUCUGGAAGAAGGCAUUUUUCUCAACUGAGGCAUUGAGGCUACUCUUUCCAAAUAACUCUAAAAAGAAACAGGAUCUGGGACAGUCUCCGAAGGCUGGGACCACAGGCUGUCCUCCAAAGCUGCAACAAGGCGUGGGGCCAGUUAAGAAGUUGCUGUAGCUGGGACUUUCUCAAGGGAGGGAGAGAGACGCUGAGAGCACUUUUCUCCUAGUAUUCACUAAACUUAAAAUGAUGAGUUUCACCAUGUUUUCCUACUUGCACGUCACACACCUUAGUCAUAUGUCCCCUCUGUUGCGCUUUCUGAUCAUCCUAUUCCCCCUCUACUCCGUUCCGCAGCUCUAACAGCCCCCUUCUAUUCAAGUUUUUCUCCUCUGGCUUCCACAUAGGAGUGAACACGUGUGAUCUUUAUCUCUUUGUACCUAGCUUAUGUCACUUACCUCUAUAGUCUAUUUCUAUCCAUUUUCUUGGUCAUGGUAUCUGUUGUGUGUGUGUCUGCACAUAUGUACCACAUCUUUGUACAUCCAUCUCUUGGUGGACACCUGUACUGGUUCUCUCUCCUGGAUGUCAUGAAUUGUGCAGCCACGAACACGGCUGUGCACAUAGCCCUGAGGCCCACUGACUGACUGGACUCCUUCAGGUGUUAGCAGUGGUGGAAUAGCUUUGUCACUGCAGGUUUUGUUUUCAGUUGUUUGAGGAACUUUGUAGUUUGGGCUUUGUCAGUCCCACUGCAGUGGAGAAGAGCUCCUUCUCCAAUGGUGGCAUCCAUCAUUUUCUUGGUGACAGCCAUUCAUUCUAUCUAUGGUGAGAAGAGAUCACAAUGUAAUUUCAUUUGCCUUUUCCUAGUGGCUGAGGGUAUAGGGCGUUUUUUUCACAUAUGUCUUGGCCUUCUGUUUUUCUUCAUUUGUGAAGUUUGUUUGCCUCUGUUGAUUAGAUUGUUACUUUGGUGGGUUUUGAGGGGGUUGUUUUCAGUUCUUCCCAGAUGACUGUCAGAUGACUGGCCAAGAUAGUCUAUUCUUAGGCUCUUUACUCAGCUGUUUCUUUUGCUGUGAAUAUUUUUAGUUUGAUAUAAUCCCAUUAGCCAGUUCUUAUUAUUUCAUGAGAUGCUGGAGCUCAUUUCAGAAGGUCCCUGUCUUACUUAUGUGUGGAAGUGUUUUGCUUCUUCCUCUAGUAAUUUCAGAGUUUUAGGUAUUACAACUAAGUCAGUGUUCCAUUUUGGGUUGAUUUAUGCAGUAGGCCAGAGCCUGCUACAAAUGUUAUCCUCCUACAUGUGAAUAACCCAUUUUCCAGCAUCAUUUGUAAAGAGACUGUCUUCUAUUUCCAGUGUAUUUUUAAGGAUUUAUUUUAUUUUUAAUUCUAUGUAUGCAGGAGUUGGGGGAGUAUGUGCACAUGAAUACAGGUAUCCUCAGAAGCCAGAAGGGAGGCAUUGGAUUCGCGUGUGCUGAAGCUAUAGGUGAUCCUGAGCUACCUGAUGUCAGGUCUGAGAACCAGACUUUAACCUCUUAACCAAUGAGCCAUUUCUCCAGCCCUCUACGCUGGAGAUGCUUCCACAGGCGAAAAUAAAAUUGGCCAACAGACCUUGAGACCUUGGUGCUAUCGUUUACUGCGUUGGCGUGAAGGAUUUCAAUGAAACUCAGUUGGCUCAAAUCGCAGACAGUAAGGACCACAUGUUUCCUGUGAAAGAUGGCUUCCAGGCUCUUCAAGGCAUCAUCCACUCGAGUCCCUUCAAGUGGUCAUGAGAGGAAAUGGCUUCCGACAUGCCUGCAGUGUGGACAGGGUCCUCUGCAGCUUCAAGAUCAAUGACUCAGUCACACUCAGGAUGGGCCACUCUCCCCUGGAGCGUUCAGUUCGGUGUAAUUAUUUCUGUAACAGCAACCCAGGCAGAGCUCAGGCCAGCUCAAGAACAGACUUCACAAUCAAGCUUGCGUCCUCACUGCGAGCUGCUACAUAAUUACGUCUCUGAUCCUGAGAGAUGAGCUCAUGGGAGAGCUUCAAGGAUCCGACACAGUUCCAUACAGGAGGUGCUCCUAUGGGGUCUGCUACCUAUCUGCAUGGCUGUUACUGUAAGAAGGUGGGAGAAAGCAGGCCAGGCAUGGAUGAAGGCCCACAUGUGAGGAAACAUUUAUGGGUACACACUGGGUUACAUUUCAAGAGUAUUGAGGUUCCAUUUUAUAUGUGGAUGACACCAUGAAAAUUAACUGUUCUAUGCAUGACACUGCUAAUACAAAAACAUCAUUAAAAUAAAAAGUAGGCCUGUCAGAAUCACACCAGACUUCUCAACAGAGACUAUGAAAGCCAGAAGGGCCUGGAUGAAUAUCAUGUAGACACUAAGAGACCACUGAUGCCAACCCAGACUACUAUAGCCAGCAAAACUUUCAAUCAACAUAGAUGAAGAAAAGAAAAUAUUCCAUGACAUAACUAAAUUUAAACAGUAUAUAUGCAGCAACCCUACAGAAGAUACUAGAAGGAAAACUCCAGUCCAAAGAGAUCAACUACACCCAAGAAAACACAGGUCCAAAUUGAGGCCAAGACCAAGAGAGGAAGUCCAUGCCUGACACUGCCUGGAUGAACCAGAGUCAGGACAGCCUAGAGACCCAGGAUAUAUGUAAACAUGGCAGGCAAAAAACGUCAAUGAAAGAUAUUCUGCUAUAAUCAUAGAUCUGUGCCUAACCCAGUUAUCAUUAGAGAGACAUCACCCAACAUCUGAUGGGAGUAGGUGCAGAGACUCACAGCCAAACACAACGAUGUAUCCAGGGGAACCGUACAAAUGAAGAAGGAAGUAUUGUCGGAACCAGAGAUAUUGAGGACACAACAAGAACACAGCCCACUGAGUCAACGGGGCUCAUAGGGGAUCACAGAGACUGAAGCAAAAAAAUGUAAAUAGUCUGUGGGUCUUUUGAGCUAGGUCAUCUGCACACACCUUAUGAUUAUUAGCUUGAUGUUCUUGUGGGACUUCCAACAGUGAGAGUGGGGGUGUCUCUGAUUCUUUUUCCUGAUCUAGCUACACUUUCUCUUCUUAUGUAUUGCCUUGACCAACUUUGAUGUGAGGGAUUGUGCCUAGUCUUGUUGUAACUUGUUAGGCCAUCAGAUUUUUUUUCAUUGAAAAUAAAGUAGCAGUGGAUCUGAAGGAGAGGUGAGGUGGGCAGAGUGGCGGUGGAUAGAUAGUGGCUGGGAGGAGCAAAGGGUCAGGAAACUGCAGUUGGGAUGUAAUGCAUGAAACAACAACAAAAAUAAAAUGCUAAAUUAAAAUAAACUAUCAGCAGCCAGGUAUGUUGGUGAAUGCCUGCAAUCCUAGCACUCAGAAAGUCAGAGGCAGGUAGAUCUCAAAGAGUUCUACAAAGAGAAUCCAGGACAGCCAAGGCUACUCAAAGAAAUCCUGUCUUCAAACAAACAAACAAACAAACAAAAACUGUCAGCGUUUGUCUUUCAUAUUUGAGAACUUUGUUCUAUGUCCCACUUUUUAACAGGGUUUUUGUUGUUGUUGUUUGUUUGUUUGUUUUAUGGUUUCUUCAUGUCUACAUUUUAUGAGUUCUUUGUACGGUCUAGAUAUAAACCUGUCUUAUGCGUAGCUGGUAAAGACGUUUCCCAUUCUUUAAUCUGCUUCAUCACCUAAAGUAUGGAUUGCAAAAGCUUUUUAGUUUUUUGAAGUCUCAUUUAUUCAUUCAUGGUCUUCAUGUUUGUGCCUGUGCUAUUUUGGUCCUGUUCUCCUGUUCAGCAAGUCCUUCCCCGUAAAUUCAAGGGUAGACCUUAUUUUUCUCUACUGCUUUCAGUAUAACUUGAUUAUGUUGUAGUUCUUCCUUGUUAUUUAUGAAGGUGAGUUUUUUGCAUGGUGAGAGAUAGGGAUAUUUUUAAUUUGGAGCUAUACAGUUUAGCAAGCACUACUGAAAUUGUCUUUUCUCUAAUAUUGCUUUUCAAAGAUCAUAUAGCUUUAAGAGUGUUUGGGUUUUUGUUGUUGUUAUGCUUCUUAAUUCUAUUGUAGUAUACAUUGAGUCCAUUAUUAAGCCACUACGAUGCUGUUUUUAAUUUAAAUUUAAACUGAAACAUGGCAAUGCCUUCAGAAAAUAUUUUUUUGGUUAAGGAUUGUUUUUUGUUAUUCUUGGUCUUUUUUGUUUACACAGGACUUCAAGACUACUUUCAGUUUCUUUGAAGAAUUUUAUCGAAUGUCUGGUGGAGAUUGCUUUGAAUACGUAGCUUCCUUUGUAGGGUAAUCAUUUUAGCAAGGUUAUUUCUGCCAAUCCAUAAGCAUGUAUGGUCUUUCUAUUUUCUGGUUUUUAUUUUUCCAAGUGUCUUAAAGGUUUCCUUGCAUCUGUUUGGUACAUUUGACAUAUGUAUUAUAACUCCAGAGUUACUCAGUUUAGUUUAUUUACAGAUAGCCUGUUUAUGGAUAAUCACUGUGUUUGGGUAAAUCUUUUGUUUUAGAUCUGUGUUUCUUUUAUGAAAGAGUGCAUUUGGAUUUGCUAAAUUUUUUAAAUGAGUAUAAAGUUCCACCCUUAGUCUAUUAACUAAUUUUAGAUUGAAGUACAUUUUGUCAGGCAUUAGAAUACCUAUAUACAUGGUAGUUUUCUGGUUCCAUUUGUUUGGAAUUAUUUUUGGCCAUUUACUGUAGGUAUCUAUGUCUUUGAAGGGAGGUUCUUAGAGGCAGAAAACACAAGAACCCUGUUUCUUAUUGUGUCUGUGUUUUUAGUGAGGAACUGAGACCAGUAAUGUAGUUAUUGUUGAAAGAUGUGCACUGAUUCUUUUCAUUUAUUUCAUUUCAUGCUGUUUUCUUGGAUCUGUUUUAACAAAUACAGAUUGGGCUGGCAAUAUUCACUUGUCACUUUUGACAUCUCAGAUGUGCUUGUCCUUCACUUCAGACUGAAGUAUUAGCAUUCCUCCUGAUUUUCUCAUUAGGGCCCUCUUUAUACUCACAAACUGAUGCUUCGGGAGUUAGAGUACAUCUUUUGAUUUUCGUCUGACCUUAAAGCUUUUAUCAAACAAUCUGGUGUUAUUCUAAAAGGCUUGCCUUUAUAAGUUACUUGAUCUUUCUCAAUGUAACUUUUAAUACCAUUUUUUUUAAAUUUUGUUUCUGGUGUCUUAACUAUAAUGCAUCAUGGAGAAAUUCUUUUCCAGUCGUGUGUAUUUGGUGUUCUGUAGCACUCUUGUACCUUGUUAGCCAUCACUUUUAUUAGUUUUGGGAAUUUUUUUCUAUACCUUUACUGAAAAUAUUUUCUAUGCCUUUGCUAAUGUUUUUUUCUUCUCUUUCUAUGAUCAAAAUGCCUUUUGUUGAUAUCCCCAAACUAUCUCAUGCUCCAUUCAUAUACACUGUUAAGUUUCUCCUUGCCUGUUAUUGAUUGAUUCAACUCCUCUACUUGGUCUUCUAUCUUUAAAUCUCUGUUUUUAGCAUGGUCAAUCCUGUUAGUGUUUCCUUGUUCAGAGUUUUAUAUUCAAUCUAUUGGGUUUUGCUUUCCAGCAUUGUUUCAGUUUAGGUUUUCUCUAAAAAUUUAAGCUUUAUUUUCAAGUUAUAGAUUGACUUCCCUAUGUAAUUUUUUUUGUCUUUGUGUUCUUCAAGUACAUUUGUACUCAUUAUUUGAAUUCCAUGUCUCUAAUUUCUUCUGAUCAUUCUCACUAAGGGAAAUUAAUAUGGGAUUUAAAAUAUUUGCAGGUGACAUGUUAUCUUGGUUUUACUUGCAUUAAAAUUAGUUAUUAGUUAAAACAUAAUUAUAUAAUUUCUGCAUUGGGAGUUCACUUGUUGGUUUCAAUUUUUUUCAAAUCACCAUUCAUCGUUCACCACAAGUGUCUACAAUGUUCCAAAUAGUGGAAUUCACUCCAGUCUUGGGAACAUUUAAACACUUUUUACCCUUUUAAUUUUGUGUGCAUUAGUGUUUUCCCACAUGUAUGUCUGUACAUAACACGCAGAAGCCAUAACUAGGCAUUUCAGUCUUCAAAACUGUAGUUACAGAAAGUUGUGAGUCACCAUGCCAGUGCUGGGAAUAAAUCCCAAGUCUUCUGGAAUAGCAGCCAGUGACUUUAAGUGCUGAGCCAUUUCUUCAAGAACAAUGUUGGACCCUUUAUUUACUCUGUGUGGUAUUUAAGGAUACAGCCUUGACUCAGGUAAUUUUUUUUCUUGGCUACAGCCCAUAGCUUCAACUUUUAGAAUAAGAAUCUCCAAAAGGGUUCUUCUGGCAGUGUAGAGUGAUCCUAGGUUUCAAAUGUGGAUAAGGCCACUAAAUAUUGUUAGUAAGGCAUAUUGUCGUUAUCUUUCACUCAUGUGUGGUGCCUCCAGAUUCCCUGGGUCUUCUAGUUUUAGUUUCUAUAGGGUCUGUUGUUGUAUAAAGUUUUGAGUGAGACCCAGAGAAAUACAGGUCAAGGGGAAGUGUAGACUUACUUUUUUUAAAUUUUUAUUUUUUAUAUGAAUUUUUUAUAUUAAUAUUUACUUUGUAUCCCAGCCGUAGCCCCCUCUCUCAUUCCCUCCCAAUACCACCCUCCCUUCCUCCUCUCCUCCCUGCCCCUUUCUAAGUCCACUGCUAGGGGUCCUCCUCCCCUUCCAUCUGACCCUAGCUUAUCAGGUACCUUCAGGACUGUCUGCAAUGUCCUCUUCUGUGGACUAGCAAGAUUGUUCCUCCCUCGGGGAGGUAUAGGAGCCAGUCAUUGAGUUCAUGUCAGAAAUAGUUCCUGUGUCCCUUACUAAGGAACCCUACUUGGUUACUGAGCUACCAUGGGCUACAUCCUAGCAGGGGUUCUAGGUUAUAUCCAUACAUGGUCCUUGGUUGGAGAAACAGUCUCAUAGAGGACCCUUGUGCUCUGAUAUAUUUUGUCCUUGUGGAGCUCCUGACUUACUUAUUUUUUAAUUUUACUAUUAUAACUCAGAAAUUGACUGAUAUGAAAAUAAAUACAGUAUUAGCAUAGUUUACUGUUCUAGCUAGAGAUGAGGGCUUGGAACUCAAGUCUGCACCAUUACACAUUAAAAGUCAGGACAGGAGCCUAUUUUUUCCAGUCAAUAUCAUCUGCUUACUAAGUAACUUAUAUUUCUUCAAUGUUUAUCCUUAAGUACUUCUUAGAAACUAAUUUUCAUCAUCUUAUGUUCUUUUCAGAUUAUGAUAUAUGUAUCAUCAAUAAAGUGAUUGUAUUUUUAUAAUCACUCACUUCACACACUGUAAAAAUAAUUUUUGUCAGAAAAUAACAAGAAUAAAAAUAUUUUUUAAAUGCCCAGUCCUGUUACCAGGACAUUUUCUCAAACGCAUGUGUUUAAGUGUCAUGGAUAUCCUGAACCAAAGAAUAUUGUUGAAUAAUUUGUUCUUCAGGCUGAGUUCUCUGUGUCUAAGGGAGGAGAAAUUUUGUGUUGAUUGAAACACAGGUUUGCCUUAUUAUCCAGGAUUGUACUGAAUGUGAUUUACUGAACACCAGGUUUUUCUAUGGCUUUUCAUUACAUACAGUUUUAUAACAGACAGUUUUCUGCUAUUAUCUACUCAUUGCAUGUUGUUAAUCUGAAACAAAAAAGAAAGUCCCAACAAGCUAUGGUUUGACCUGUUAAUAUUUCUUAAUAUUGUACUUUUUUGUUUCAUUUUGUGUUUUUGUCACUCCACUCACCCAUUCUUUCUUAGAUGAGUCAAUUUAUUUGGGGGACCAUUCUUUCAUUACCACAUCACAAUACACAGCACAUUCACUGCCUUAAAUUGCUUUUUGCUAGAAAAUAGAAUUCUACUCAAUAUAGCUUCCCCCAGACUAUUAGGUGAAAGAGCACACUGUAAUGCCUUUAAAUUGUUAUACUUUUUUACAGAAUGGAGAAGGAUUUCUCACACACCCUAAAGAUUUUAGAGCAUGGUGAGCAGUUGGUGAGCACACUGACUUAGGUGCAGGAAUAGAUUACAAUGAUGCCUCUACUCAAAGAUUAAAAGAAAAAAAGACUAAGAGUCAAGUAGCUCAAAUCUCAAGAAGUAAACAGGGGACUUGAUUAUUUUUACUGAACUUAGGUAGAUAAUUUGGAAAUGAGGAAUGCAGCAGGACUAUAGUUUUUCCAAAGUGACCAAUAAGCUGAUUGUGUUGGGUGCACUCAUCAUAUUGUUCUGCAUGUGCAAAUGUGUAAUAGAAGAAAUUUGUGAGGCACCUAUAGUCAAUAGAGUAGACUCCAUUGGUUGUCUUUGGAUUGAAAAGCAUGAUCCCCUUAUUGUCUUUGUGUGUGCAUGGCAUGAACAUUUUCAUGCCUUCUCCUGAUUUCCUUAUCACAGUAACCUCUGCUGUAACAUGUUUUCAUCAGCCGAAGGUGUUUUUAUAUGAAAAGUUCCUUGCUUCAAACUUGGCUGAAACAACCCAAUCAGAAAGUUGAUCCCUGAAGUACAGCUGUCCAUAUUCUUGGCUGAAAUCAUGGUGCCUGUGGUUAGAAGAUCCGAAACAUUUCCAACUUGUUUUCAAACAAAAUACAGGACCCCAGAUGCAGAACCUAAGGGAAGAAAGAAUUUCAUAACUCUCAGAGGUAGUAGAAGAAGUGUCAGGAAGAAUUUGGGGUGAUUAGUGUGACAGAUACACUCAUUAACAAAGUGAGAAACACACAUGUUCACAAAACUUGAGAUGAAUUAUACCUGCUGGACAUUGUUAAAUUUGUAUUCACUAGUCUUAUGGCUGAGUCUGUAUGUAUGUUAAUAUGAUGUUCUGGAUUUUUAUCUCCUGGCUCUUGUAUAUUCCCAAUUUUGUUUGGGCCUUUUCUGACAAUCACUACUAUGUAACCAUACAGGAAGGUUUUUACCAUCAAGGAGAUGUGAUGACUGGUGCAUUUUUUCCUCAUGUUUAUUACACAAUGAUCCUGAUAUAAAGAACACAUACUAUUUUCAGGAUAUUCAUAUACAGU